rnacentral:lncRNA from 1 species
GUGAAGAUGUGCUUACUUCCCCUUUGCUUUCCACCAUGAUUCCAUGUGAAGAUGUGCUUGCUUCCCCUUUGCCUUCUGCCAUGAUUCUAAGUUUCCUGAGGCCUCCCCAGAAGCAGAAGCAUGUAAAGCCCACAGAACCGGUCCAGUCGUCGACCAUCGAGCUGCUUUGAAGACCCUGCGGAGGUUCCGUCGCUGCUUGAACACAGUGCCUGGACUCCCUGCUCCGUGAGGCGAAUUUACACCGGGUCCAGCUGCGUCAGCCCGAGUUCUGAAUUAAAACAUGCCUCCCACAGAAUCUAUUUCUGAUGAAUAUGAAAGGAAGAUUGUUCUUCCAUGUUGGUUUUUAUUGAGAUA